CCAGCAUGAACAUUAAAAUACAGAUCUUAAGACUUAAAGAAGACUCUUUGUGGCAUUAAGAUGCCAAAUUCCAACCGGACUCUGGUGUAGCACCACGUGGCAGACAGGCUCUGAGGAAAAUAAAGAUAUUUUCCCCCAACAUAUCUUUAUUGGACACAUUUUGAAAUGGUCCUGCAAAGCCAUCUUUCGAGGGGGAAAUUUGCAUCUGGAAAGAAUCUCCAUUUAUGCAGCCAGGCCUUUCCCAGCCAGAGGAUUUCCCAGAUAUAGGAGAGAUUAACUAAGAGUCUGAAAUGCUAAGGCCCUAAAAGGGACAUUUGCCAUCUAUUCUCUCUGAAGGCUGCUACUUGGAGGCUUCAUCUACAUGACAAGAACCUUGGCUUCCAUAACCUCCUUAUCUUAACUAAGCAUUUCUUUCUGCUGUCUUCGAGCCUUUAGACAAAGCUUAACUCAGCCAAUUGCCAACUCAAUCAAUUGCCAAUUAGAAAAUCAUUGACUCCACCUAUAACCUAUAAGUCUCCACCUCUUCAAGAUAUCCUGCCUCUUUAGGCUGAACCCAUGUGCACCUUCCAUGUAUGAAUUUAUGUCUUUGCCUGUAAUUUCUGGUCACUCCUACUGGCUCAGAAUAAACCUCUUCAUAUGUUUUACAGAGUUUGCUUUUUUCAUCAACAUGCUUCACUAUCACUGGUGCUGAUGAGCUAAUACUGUUUUAUCCUUGCUAAAUAUUAUUUUUCUUCAUUUUUUUGGAUAUGGGGUCUCACUCUGUUGCCCAGGCUAGACUGCAAUCCAGCUCACUGCAGCCUUGACCUCAUGAGCCCAAGCAAUCCUCCCACCUCAGCCUCCAGAGUAGCUGAGACUAUAAGCAGGCACCACCACACCCAGUUAAUUUUUUUUUUUAAAAAAGAAAACUCAACACCACAAACACGACUAUAUAUGGAACCCAGUCCUCUCUUGACUUAACUGACAUGUCUAGUACAGAACACACACAUUUUAUUUGUUAGGAGACAGCCACGGGUCCCAGCGGCAAACAGGUGGGAAAGCUCAGGGAGAAGGCCAAGGCGUCUGUGACAGAUUAAACGCAGCAUUAGUGCUCUACUCCAGACCUUAGGAGUGACUCAGCCAAGGCCAGGCACUCAGCCGUCCAAACCAUUCAGCCGUCCGAACCAAGAACUCCCUGCACUGCUCCCCAGGGCCUCUGUGCACUCCAUUCCUCUUUGAAAUGUUUUUAUAGCGAUGAUAAACUGACUCAAAAAAAAAAGCCCUGAAACGCAUGGUCUCUGUUACUGACAAAUGGGUUCAGAUGUGUUUCUAUUACAAAUACGCAUCCUGGCGCUUCAGAUUGCUCUCCGGUGCCAUGAAAAACAUGUGCAGGUGCAUCCAGAGAGAAUCUGAGGCCAGCUAACUCUAGCAAGCAAAAUACCAUUGACCAAAGACCAGGUCUUUCUGGUCUCCUGAGGCACAUCUAAGCAGGGAUUUCUAGGAUCCAGACAACAACAUUAUCAGGCUGUGAUGAGGGAAAUGGACUCCAAAUUUCAGAUGAGUCUCCCACAGCAUUUUGUGACUUCACCUUUAGUCUCCAGGGAGAAUGAAACUUCAGUCUGAAUAGAGCUGCCGGCUUUUCAGGAGCUUAAACCAUUGCACAAAUAUUGAAUAGAGGUUGUGAGAGAGGCUCCAGGGUCAGCAAACCUUAGCAAAUGUGCAUUCUUAAGAGGCAACAUGAAGCAGUAAAAUAAUUGGGAAGCAGGGAAAGAUGCAGAGUCAGGUCUGAGUCCCGCUCUGCCACUCUCCAAGAACCCUUUAUCUUCUCCCUCUCUCUAUCCUGGGAUGAUCACGUGUGUUUUGCAAGAUUGUCUUAAGAAUGAGAAGUAACUAACAUCUCAAGUGCCUGACACUUCACAGUGGCUCUUCUCAUCAAAUUCACUUUCACAGACAGAACCAGAUGAUCAGCCCACAAGAAAAGAAGUGGCAAGAAGCAACGUGCCCUUAUUCAGCUUGAAAUCCAACUGGAAGGCAAUCCAGUAAGGAUGGAAAU
rnacentral:lncRNA from 1 species